rnacentral:rRNA from 1 species
UACAGAGGCCUCGAGCGUUAGGCGGAAUCACUGGGCUUAAAGCGUGUGUAGGUGGAUGCCUAAGUACCUUGUGAAAUCCCACGGCUUAACCGUGGAACUGCUUGGUAUACUGGCGGUCUUGAGCCAGCUAGGGGCUACCGGAACAAAUGGUGGAGCGGUGAAAUGCGUAGAUAUCAUUUGGAACGCCAAUGGUGAAAACAGGUAGCUGGGGCUGUGCUGACACUGAGACACGAAAGCCAGGGGAGCAAACGGG